rnacentral:rRNA from 1 species
GAUGAACGCUGGCGGCGUGCCUAAUACAUGCAAGUCGAGCGAACGGACGAGAAGCUUGCUUCUCUGCUGUUAGCGGCGGACGGGUGAGUAACACGUGGAUAACCUACCUAUAAGACUGGGAUAACUUCGGGAAACCGGAGCUAAUACCGGAUAAUAUUUUGAACCGCAUGGUUCAACAGUGAAAGACGGUCUUGCUGUCACUUAUAGAUGGAUCCGCGCUGCAUUAGCUAGUUGGUAAGGUAACGGCUUACCAAGGCAACGAUGCAUAGCCGACCUGAGAGGGUGAUCGGCCACACUGGAACUGAGACACGGUCCAGACUCCUACGGGAGGCAGCAGUAGGGAAUCUUCCGCAAUGGGCGAAAGCCUGACGGAGCAACGCCGCGUGAGUGAUGAAGGUCUUCGGAUCGUAAAACUCUGUUAGUAGGGAAGAACAUAUGUGUAAGUAACUGUGCACAUCUUGACGGUACCUAAUCAGAAAGCCACGGCUAACUACGUG